rnacentral:lncRNA from 1 species
GUAAAGUUAUUAGUAACUUUUUAAGAAAGAUUGCAUUUUUUAUUUUUGUAUUUCACUUUUCUUGAUUGGUUAUGAGAUCUUUACAUCUUCACUUAUUUGGAAUAGAGUUUAACAGUUUAACAACAACUGACACAGUAUAAUCUCAUUUAGUGGGCUCUUGGUAGGAUAGUGUGUACAGACCUUACCCCUACCCUUGGGUAGAGAGGCUGUUUCCAAAUAGACCCCCGACAUCCUUCCNNNNNNNNNGUACAGACCUUACCCCUACCCUUGGGUAGAGAGGCUGUUUCCAAAUAGACCCCCGACAUCCUUCCCUCCAAGAACUUCCCACCUUGCUUUUUGGGAGAUUCGAACUCACAACCUCUCGAUUGGAAGUGGGGGUUGCUUACUAUCAGAGCAACCCCUCUUGUCUUCUAUACACUGAUAGUGUAAAAAUUCAAUCACUUAAAAGAUAACUAAUUGAAAAAGAAAAAACUAGAAAACAAGGCAGGUUAUCUAAGAUAAAUAUUGUAAAUCUAAGUUACAUCCUUUGGAAUAAUCUUGUUCGAUGUCUUAGCUUUAGGUGCUAGUUAAUUGUAUUCUAGCGUUUGAUCUUUUUAGGUCUUUUGUUUGAUUUGUUAAUUUGUUGUAGCAGGUAAUCUAUCUGAUUUUUCAAGUUUCUCAUUCCACUUGUUAUCAAUGGUUAUCUGUAUUUGUCUUUUAUGCUGAUAAUAUUACGGAAUUAUUUUGCACUGAUAGUGUAUAGAAGUUCAACUCCUCCACAAAAAGCAUCUGACUGUACGCAACCAUAUAUAGCAUGUGGUUACAAAUAGCAGUUGGUCGUUUUAGCAUUACUCUAGCUUUACAAAUAUCAUACAGACUGAAUAUGUUUUGGAUAUCUAUUCCUUUGGAUUAAUGAUGAUUUGACAAUAAUGCAAGCAUUCAUUGUCGCAUAAUGUGGAUUAUUCCUGAAAUAAAAGGUGGUAUUACAAGAACAACAACUGUUGAAGCUGAAAAAUUGAAGUUAGUUUCAGAAGGAUGCAUUACCAAAUUUGUGAGUAUUACUAAUUCUAACUAUACUUAGAAAAUAUGAUCUCCAACUUGAAGCUCAAUUUCUUGUUUAUUUCCUUAGCCAAACUUCUUAAAAUUUGAUCUCACUUUGUUAAGUUGCAGCAAAAACUAGUAUCUAAAGAUAUUUUUGGGAAAGUUUCUAAGACACAUCAUGCUAUUCAGUGAGUUUUUCUAUUGUCUUUAUUUCUUAUUUUUGAUAACUUGUGACACAAACUUUAUAAGAAAUGAUAAAGAUAGUUUGCUGAGCAAUAACUGCAUAUCUUAUACAGGACAUUAGACAAAACAAUUUCAAAUUUGGAGAUGGAUUUAGCUGCAGCAAAGGCAGCACAGGAGUCGAUUCUUAGCGGCGCUCCAAUAUCAGAAGAGAUAAAAAAGAGUGAUUCAAAAAUAAAAAGAAAAUAUUUUAUGGUGGUAGGAAUAAAUACUGCAUUUAGUAGCAGAAAAAGAAGGGAUUCAGUUCGCGCUACAUGGAUGCCACAAGGUUUUUCAAAACCGCGCCUAUGCCUUAUUAUUCCCUCCUAGUUUCUUUAAGUCGUCUCGUGCUGGAAUUUGCUUCAUCGAUAUUUAACUCGUCUCGUGAAAUAGGUGAAAAAAGAAGGAAGCUGGAAGAAGAGAAAGGGAUAAUCAUUCACUUCGUCAUUGAUCAUGGGUGGGAGAUUUUUCUUCUGCUAAACAUUCUAAAUUGAAUGAUAUAUUUCAGCGCUUGUCUAGUUGAUCAUGUAACUAGGGUAUUUUAUUACUUUAAUCAAAUUCUAUUGGUAUGUAUAAACUUGUAUGCAUAGGUAUUCUAAUUCUGCCUCAAUAUAUUCUUAAUUCAACUCUUGUUUGUAAUCAUGUUUUUAAGAUUUAUAGCAGCAUAAACUUUUAACAUUCUGUCUAAAAAGCUCUAAACUCAUUGUGCAGUGCCACAGUAGGGGGAAUAUUAGACAGAGCUAUUGAAGCUGAGUACAAAACAACAACAACAACAACCCAGCAUAAUCCCACUUAGUGGGGUUUGGGGAGGGUAGUAUGUGCGCAGACCUUACCCCUACCCUUGGGUAGAGAGGCUGUUGCCAAAUAAACCCCCAACAUCCUUCCCUCCAAGAACUUCCCACCUUGCUCUUGGGGAGACUCGAACUCACAACCUCUCGGUUGGAAGUGGGGGUUGCUUACCAACAGAGCAACCCCUCUUGUCUAAGCCGAGGACAAAAAACAUGGUGAUUUCUUAAGGC